rnacentral:rRNA from 1 species
AACGAACGCUGGCGGCAUGCCUAACACAUGCAAGUCGAACGAGACCUUCGGGUCUAGUGGCGCACGGGUGCGUAACGCGUGGGAACCUGCCUUUAGGUUCGGAAUAACUCAGAGAAAUUUGAGCUAAUACCGGAUGAUGUCUUCGGACCAAAGAUUUAUCGCCUUUAGAUGGGCCCGCGUAAGAUUAGCUAGUUGGUGGGUAAAGGCCUACCAGGGCGACGAUCUUUAGCUGGUCUGAGAGGAUGAUCAGCCACACUGGGACUGAGACACGGCCCAGACUCCUACGGGAGGCAGCAGUGGGAAUAUUGGACAAUGGGCGAAAGCCUGAUCCAGCAAUGCCGCGUGAGUGAUGAAGGCCUCGGUUGUUAAGAC